rnacentral:tRNA from 2 species
GGAGGCGUGGCAGAGUGGUCGAUUGCACCGGUUUUGAAAACCGGCAUGGCGCAAGCCAUCGAGGGUUCGAAUCCUUCCGCCUCCGCCA